rnacentral:rRNA from 1 species
UGGGGAAUAUUGCACAAUGGGCGCAAGCCUGAUGCAGCGACGCCGCGUGAGGGAUGAAGGCCUUCGGGUUGUAAACCUCUUUCAGCAGGGAAGAAGCGCAAGUGACGGUACCUGCAGAAGAAGCGCCGGCUAACUACGUGCCAGCAGCCGCGGUAAUACGUAGGGCGCAAGCGUUGUCCGGAAUUAUUGGGCGUAAAGAGCUCGUAGGCGGUCUGUCGCGUCUGCUGUGAAAACUCGAGGCUCAACCUCGGGCUUGCAGUGGGUACGGGCAGACUAGAGUGCGGUAGGGGAGACUGGAAUUCCUGGUGUAGCGGUGGAAUGCGCAGAUAUCAGGAGGAACACCGAUGGCGAAGGCAGGUCUCUGGGCCGCAACUGACGCUGAGGAGCGAAAGCAUGGGGAGCG